AUUGAACGCUGGCGGCAGGCCUAACACAUGCAAGUCGAACGAGUGGCGGACGGGUGAGUAAUGUCUGGGAAACUGCCUGAUGGCGGGGGAUAACUACUGGGAACGGUCACUAAUACCGCAUACCAUCAGAUGUGCCAAGAUGGGAUUAGCUUGUUGGUGGGGUAACGGGUCACCGAGCAGACGAUCCCUAGCUGGUCUGAGAGGAUGACCAGCCACACUGGAACUGAGACACGGGCCAGACUCCUACGGGAGGCAGGAGUGGGGAAGAUUGCUCAAUGGGCGCAAGCCUGAUGCAGCCACGCCGCGUGUAUGAAGAAGGCCUUCGGGGUGUAAAGUACUUUCAGCGGGGAGGCGUUACCCGCAGAAGAAGCACCGGCUAACUCCGUGCCAGCAGCCGCGGUAAUAC
rnacentral:rRNA from 1 species